UCCGAGUUGACCCCGGCAGUUUUCUACGAGUCCCCGGCAUUAUCCGCUGGCAACAUAGAAUAAGGGUUGCGCUCGUUGCUGGACUUAACCCAACACCUCACGGCACGAGCUGACGACAGCCAUGCAGCAUCUGUACCGGUUCUCGCCUCGACGAGUCGUCCCGGUUUCCCGGUCCUACUUCCUUAACUUUCAAGCCCUGGUAAGGUUCCUCGCGUAUCAUCGAAUUAAACCACAUGCUCCUCCGCUUGUGCGGGCCCCCGUCAAUUCCUUUGAGUUUCAACCUUGCGGUCGUACUCCCCAGGUGGAUUACUUAACGCGUUAGCUGCGGCACAGCAGGAUUGGGUACCUGCUACACCAAGCAAUCAUCGUUUAGGGCUAGGACUAC
rnacentral:misc_RNA from 1 species